rnacentral:tRNA from 1 species
GCGGCUGUAGCUCAGUUGGCUAGAGCGAUUGCUUGCCAUGCAAUAGGUCGAGGGUUCGAGUCCCUUCAGCCGCU